rnacentral:tRNA from 1 species
GGGGAUUUAGCUCAGUGGUAGAGCGCUUGCCUAGCAAGCUAAAUGCCCUGGGUUCCAUACCCAGCUCA